GACAAGAUUGAUAUGCACCCAAUAAGUCGAUCAUAACUCUUUUUUUUUCUUUUGAUAAUCCAGGUAAUCCGGACACCCCGGAGGGAACCCGACUAGCGCCUAAGUACACCUCCGCAGAAGGCAUCCUGGAGGGCCGCCUUUUUCACCCCAUUUUAAUCGACGGUGGCCAGCGGGAUUCGAACCCGGGUCCGUAUUGGGGCCAAAGCUCCCUCAAGACCACUGGACCGUCCUCGCUUGGUUUGAUCGAUCAUAACUCUUUCAAUACAUAUCCAAAUGAUUUGAAACCAAUUUGAUUAGAAAUCUAACUCAAUUUUUUAUGUCAUGUCAAAAUGAACUUCAAAAUAUAUCGUUAAUUUUUUCAUCCAUGUUGAUAUUUUGUGGCUUAAUCCGCUCCAAAACCUAAAACACACACAUAUCACAUGCAAAUGAAAUAUAUACUCCUAAUUUUAAUAUAAAAGAAAAUAAGUGUGAUGAAAAUGAUGUAAAAAUGCAAGACAUUAACUGAAGGACUAGUAUUGAGAAACACACAAAAACAAAAUCAUCAUUUUAGUUGAAAAGAGAACCAAUUGUUUUAGCUGAAAAGAGAGGCGAAUUACCCAAAUACAAACCAUGAUCAAGUUUUUCAGGAGGAAUGAGGUAAUGUGCCUAGAAGGAGAGACUUGCUGAGACGUUUCAGGUAUUUACAGAUUCUGAGAGACCGAUAAAUCUAGACUCAUCAUAAUCAAUUAAAAAUACAAUGUUGGCUUCAAGAUAAUGGUAAGAGCAAGCGUUUAGACAGAAAGGUUCACUCUUUGAUAUGAAUAUGUUGAAAUCUCCAAUGUCAUUUGUGUAAAAAAAACAUUUGUGUAAAAAAAACAUUUCCUUCUUGGUCUAACCUGAACACAGCUAAACCUUUUGUUUUCACAUCCCUUGUAUCAUCAUCUACCACUUACCCAGGAAUGUUAUGCCAGCUGAUGACUCUAACAAGAGUUUGAUGUUGUAAGAUGAACCAAUAAGGUCAGCUACCAUUUUGUGAAGGUUUUGAAAAGUCAACUUCUGAGACUUUAGGGUUGUGCUUGUGCUUAUCAAAAUCCCAAGAUCAUGUGUGGUGGCUUCCAGAAGCGAGCAAGGUGAACAUCUGAUCUCUAAUGGAAAAGAAACUAAUGAUUACGAUUAAAAUUUUAUAAUUUAAAAAAAAUGUAGAAAAUUUUAGUAAUAAAAUUAUAUAAUUAUAAAAAAUAGAAUUAAAUAAUAUUUCAAAAUUUGUAAUGUUAUAUUUGAAUAUAUUUGUUUUGAUGAUGAUGUAUGAGUUAUUACCAUAUUCUAAAAAGUUUACCAAAAAUAUAAAUUAACAUUAAAUGUAAUUGUUAAUGUCAUGUUUAGCCAUAAGUCAUAUCAUCAAUUUUAGUAGUCAUGUCACAUUUUCAAAUAAUGUAGAGAUGAUGUGUGGCAAAUUACUUCUCAAAUAAUGUCUACGAGAUAUAUAAAAUUAUUUUGAUGAGCCAGAUUCAAACAUAUUGAUUGUAACCAUCUGUUUUAUUUUUUACAUGUAUAACGGUGCAUUUCAUAAUAUGACUCGAUCGACUUUGGAUAUCAUCGCAGUUAAUAAAUUUGAUGGUAAGUAUUUUUUAAAGUUUUUUUUUCCUUUAUUGAGCUGAUAUUUCUUUUAUCUACUAGGUAAGAUCAGUCGUAUGCUAAGAUAACUCAGUCAAUUUUACUGAUAAAGCGUAAAUUUAUAAUACCAUUAUUGGAGAAUUUAUUUUUGAGUCAAUUGGCUAUUAAUACAAAAAGAACUUGGAUAUUAACAAUCUACCUGAACAGUAAAACUUUGGUCCAAACAGCAUUGGAAAAGAAGUUAAAUUGACUAUUUUAGCCCCAAGAGUUAUACUGGUUUCAAAUAUUGAUUAGUGAUAGGUAUUAGGUAAUGUCAGUAGAAAAUAUUGUGUAGAUUUGUUUAGUUAUUAUUAGAUAUGUUAGAUUUUAAAGAUCUUUAAAAUUAAAAAAAGAAUCCAUUUCUCCUCUUUUGUUGUCGUCGUCUUCUUUCUCCAUCUUUCAUCUUCUAUUUUUUUUUCCUAUGAAUCUAAACAAAAUCAAACAAAAUCUAGUCCACCAGCUUGAUUUUGAACAAACAUACUCGAACAAGAUGAUUUGGAGUUCUCUCCUAAGUUCGGAGAUUGCUCUGGUCAUUCCUUCGAUCCAACGAUGAAGACAAUCUGUUUAGAGUAAGUGAUGAAAGAAAUAUUCGGGGAACAAGACAAGCUAGUGCUCCACCUUGUUGUGCUUGAGAUGGGAUUUGGGGAUAGAACUACAUCCUCUGGCAGGCAGUGGUGGUGUGCCGGGAAUUGAGAUAAUACAACUUUAUAAGGACGAUGAGAUGGUGGAAGUUGGCACAGAGGGAGCACAAAAUGGUUCAACCUUGGAAGCAAUUAACGGUGCCGGUGUCUAGCAAUAAAGACCAUGGCCUUCCUCUGGAUGUGAUCGCGGCAGGUGACGCACCAUGAUUAAAACGUGCAGGUCUGCCUUGUGGUGGUGGUGGCCCAACCAUGGAGAACAUAAACUCGGGGUAGAUGCAGAAAACUGGUCCAUCGUCGUUGAAGCUAACUUUGGCAUGAAGAGAAGUGGAGAAAACGUAGUGAAGUCAAAGGUUGGGGAAAUAUCAGCGGAAGGCAGCAACACCCAGGGGUGGGUGUUGAUUGGAGUCACCAUUAGUGCUUGGGAUCUAUUUUCUAAAUGUCUACGAGUUGUUGAAAAAUGGUUAACAUAAAAUUUCUCCAGGGGUUAGUAAGUUUUUAGAUGGUUAAACUUUUUUAUAACCAUUUGUAGAAAAUAUUAGCGGUAUGUAGGUAAGUUAGCUCGUUUUAAUGAUAUGAAGUUCUAAUGACAGUUUUGGAUGGAUAAACUA